rnacentral:rRNA from 1 species
GAUGAACGCUGGCGGCGUGCCUAACACAUGCAAGUCGAGCGAACACACGAGGAGCUUGCUCUUUUGACGUUAGCGGCGGACGGGUGAGUAACACGUGGGUAACCUACCUAUUAGACUGGGAUAACUUCGGGAAACCGGAGCUAAUACCGGCUAAUAUUUCGAACCGCAUGGUUCGAUAGUGAAAGAUGGCUUUGCCAUCACUUAUAGAUGGACCUGCGCCGUAUUAGCUAGUUGGUAAGGUAACGGCCUACCAAGGCAACGAUACGUAGCCGACCUGAGAGGGUGAUCGGCCACACUGGAACUGAGACACGGUCCAGACUCCUACGGGAGGCAGCAGUAGGGAAUCUUGCGCAAUGGGCGAAAGCCUGACGGAGCAACGCCGCGUGAGUGAUGAAGGUCUUCGGGUCGUAAAACUCUGUUAUUAGGAAAGAACAAACGUGUAAGUAACUGUGCACGUCUUGACGGUACCUAAUGAGAAAGCCACGGCUAACUACGUG